rnacentral:rRNA from 1 species
CCUACGGGAGGCAGCAGUAGGGAAUCUUCCGCAAUGGACGAAAGUCUGACGGAGCAACGCCGCGUGAACGAUGAAGGCCUUCGGGUCGUAAAGUUCUGUUGUUAGGGAAGAACAAGUGCUAGUUGAAUAAGCUGGCACCUUGACGGUACCUAACCAGAAAGCCACGGCUAACUACGUGCCAGCAGCCGCGGUAAUACGUAGGUGGCAAGCGUUGUCCGGAAUUAUUGGGCGUAAAGCGCGCGCAGGCGGUUUCUUAAGUCUGAUGUGAAAGCCCCCGGCUCAACCGGGGAGGGUCAUUGGAAACUGGGAAACUUGAGUGCAGAAGAGGAAAGUGGAAUUCCAAGUGUAGCGGUGAAAUGCGUAGAGAUUUGGAGGAACACCAGUGGCGAAGGCGACUUUCUGGUCUGUAACUGACGCUGAGGCGCGAAAGCGUGGGGAGCAAACAGGAUUAGAUACCCUGGUAGUCCACGCUGUAAACGAUGAGUGCUAAGUGUUAGAGGGUUUCCGCCUUUAGUGCUGAAGUUACGCAUUAAGCACUCCGCCUGGGGAUACGGUCGCAAGACUGAAACUUAAAGGAUUGACGG